GGCUUUUGCCCGCUCUAAAAAGGCGGGCGAAUAAGGGGAGGGCAAGUCGGGUGUCAGCCGCCGCGGUAAUACCCGCUCCCCGAGUGGUGGAGGCUAUUACUGGGCCUAAAGCGCCCGUAGCCGGCCCGGUGUGUCCCUCGUUAAAUCCACGGGCUUAACCCGUGGGCUGCGGGGGAUACUACCGGGCUUGGGGGUGGGAGAGGCGCCCGGUAUUCCCGGGGUAGGGGUAAAAUCCUCUGAUCCCGGGAGGACCAUCAGUGGCGAAGGCGGGGCGCCAGAACACGCCCGACGGUGAGGGGCGAAAGCUGGGGGAGCAAACGGGAUUAGAUACCCCGGUAGUCCCAGCUGUAAACGAUGCGGGCUAGCUGUCGGGGCGGCUACGGGCCGCCCCGGUGGCGAAGGGAAGCCAUUAAGCCCGCCGCCUGGGGAGUACGGCCGCAAGGCUGAAACUUAAAGGAAUUGGCGGGGGAGCACCACAAGGGGUGGACGUUGCGGCUUAAUCGGAUUCAACGCCGGAAACCUUACCGGGGCUGACGGCAGGAUGAAGGUCGGGCUGACGACCCUACCUGACGAGCCGAGAGGAGGUGCAUGGCCGUCGCCGGUGCGUGCCGUGAGGUGUCCUGUUAAGUCAGGCAACGGACGAGA
rnacentral:rRNA from 1 species